rnacentral:rRNA from 1 species
CGGCGGAACGGGUGAGUAACGCGUGAGCAACCUGUCCUCCACAGGGGGAUAACACAAGCGAAAGUUGUACUAAUACCGCAUAAGACCACGGAGAGACAUCUCUCAGGGGUCAAAGGAGCAAUCCCGGUGAACGGGUGGGCUCGCGUCCGAUUAGAUAGUUGGUCGAGGUAACGGCCACCAAGUCGACGAUCGGUAGCCGACCUGAGAGGGUGAUCGGCCACAUUGGGACUGAGACACGGCCCAAACGUCCCUACGGGAGACAGCAGUGGGGAAUAUUGGGCAAUGGGGGGAAAAACCCCCUGACCCAGCAACGCCGCGUGAGGGAAGAAGGUUUUCGGAUCGUAAACCUCUGUCCCAGGUGAAGUAGCAAGAGACGGUAACCUGGGAGGAAGCCCCGGCUAACUACGUGCCAGCCGCAGC